GACGAACGCUGGCGGCGUGCUUAACACAUGCAAGUCGAACGGUAAGGCCCUUCGGGGUACACGAGUGGCGAACGGGUGAGUAACACGUGGGUGAUCUGCCCUGCACUUCGGGAUAAGCCUGGGAAACUGGGUCUAAUACCGGAUAGGACCACUGCCUGCAUGGGUGGUGGUGGAAAGCUUUUGCGGUGUGGGGUGGGCCCGCGGCCUAUCAGCUUGUUGGUGGGGUGAUGGCCUACCAAGGGGACGACGGGUAGCCGGCCUGGGGGGGUGACCGGCCACACUGGGACUGAGAUACGGCCGAGACUCCUACGGGAGGCAGCAGUGGGGAAGAUUGCACAAUGGGCGCAAGCCUGAUGCAGCGACGCCGCGUGAGGGAUGACGGCCUUCGGGUUGUAAACCUCUUUCAGCACCGACGAAGCGCAAGUGACGGUAGGUGCAGAAGAAGGACCGGCCAACUACGUGCCAGCCGCCGCGGUAA
rnacentral:rRNA from 1 species